rnacentral:lncRNA from 1 species
GAACAGAAGCGGAAACUCGGAGAGAAAUCUGUGGACUGCUAGCAAUGAGAUAGAAGCAGGAGCUGAUGAAAGCUUUGAGGUCUUCUCCUCAGGGAGAAGCAGCAUGUCCUUCAGAGGUUACUGUGCCGGUUCUUGUAAGUAGCGUGUUGGAGCUGACUGACUUUUCUGAAUGAAAAGGCUCUCUCUCAGAGGUGUGAUUUCUGUUUGUACGUUGUGCUGUUUGUACACAGAGCUUCUGCUCAGACACAGAAUAGCGCUUCCCUGGGAUGUGAUCGUUAAGGUACCUAGAAUUAAUUAGCCUUUGGUGGCAGACCUUCAAGGCAGCAGCUCCUGCAUACUAACGAUUUGCCUGCUAUGACUGUCCUGUGUUUUAUAUUCAAAAGAAACAUUUAUUUUGCAGAGUAAUACUUCAGCUGCUGCGGAGAACCCUGUUGCUGCUUGGAUUGGAAUAAACUUCCCUGAGUGCUGUUACACUUAUUUAGGAUGAGAACCACUGGAAUUUGAAGUGUCAGAGUUUAGGAUGGCAUUUACUGCAGGCUUGCAAUGUAGCAUCCUGCCUUCACUUGUAGAACCUUUUAGCCUUUGAGCUGAAAUCUUCCACACUGUUGAUUUAGGAACCUAAAUAUGAAUGUUGGUACUCUGUUGACUGUGCUGAAUUCAAUGAUUUUUCCACUGACUCACUUGGUGACUUUGAAUGAGUGAGGAGUGGAAGUCAGCAGUCCUGAAUCAUGCCAUCCUCCAGACAAUUACCCCCCUCCCCAAUAAUUCUUUUGAGCAGCAAUCAUAUGUUAAAAAUAAUGAUUUCUUCCCUAUUUUUCCCCAUCAUAAUUCCUCUGAAUUUAUGAGCUACAGAAACAAUCUGCAACAUUUGCAGUCAGAGUGAUGUCUUUCAGGGCUGACACUUUUUGGGAGGUCACAGAGUUUGGAAAUACAGAAGUUUUUUUCUUUCAUCAGGAGUGGGAUUUAAGGAUGUGGUUUGGAGAAUUGUCGGGAUCCUUUUGGGCACCUGCCAGGGGAAGAGGAUGUGGAGAGCUCUUUGCAGUCUUCCCAGGAUGUCCUUUUGGAGGCUGCUAUUGUGAGACCAUCCCCUCUGAACACCCACAUUCCCUUUACUGCAAAGCUCUUUGAUCAGCCUCAGCAGGUGACAUGAUGAACAGCUGACUGACUACUUUGGCAAAACCAGUUUUUGUGGCUUGACCUCCUUUUCACACCCGGUGUCUUGCUGUGAGUACAGGGUCCUAUUCAGUGUCUGAGUGGUUAUAAUUGCAGGUUUACCCAGUCUAGACCUGGCUGUGGGAGAAACCCCCACACAGGUAUCAAUCAGGAAAGGCUUCUGGAGUUAAAUUAAGCAUUUGAAAUACGGAAAUGCUGACAUGGCUGGGUCAGAUGUUUGAUGGUAUGUGGUACACAGGGGAAAUGAGUUGUAUGUACCCUGCCUGUAUCCUCAUUUGCUCAGCCCUUGGCUUCAGGGAUGCUCAGUGACACUGACCCACUCAGUCCUUUGCAGAUGCUUGGUCAUAUUUAAUUUCAAAGGGUGCCAGUCCACCCUCUUCUCCAGGCAGAUAUUUUCCCUUGUGUCAACAUCCUCAUAACAACAGCUAGGCAAAUAUAGCACAUGGCUUAUGAGUGUCCUGGAAGGACUCAGAGGUGGAGAGUUAGAGCUAAAGAAGGCUCAUGGUUAACCCCAUGCAGCACUGAAUAGCUUUGGGAUAAGUCGCAGCACAUGAGGAGGAAGCUGGGAGGAGAGUUUCAUGGUCCUGCAGAGAACACCUCCUUAGACAACCACCCUCCAAGACAUUCCCAAGGAUUCCCAUGGAAAAUAAUCCUGUGUUCCUUUUAUGUUCUGGUAAUCACACACAUAUUAUGCCUCCCUGCCCAGUUCUAAGGAGAAAAGUGAUUAGUCACUCCACACAAAAACUUUUGGGGACUGUGCCUGUACUCCAGUAUGGAUGCCAGCUCCAUCUAGAAGGGAAUGAAGACUCUCAGCUCUGCUCUGUGUGUGGCUGUUAACAGAAGCUGCUAUUUGCAGGUACUGAUGCAAGGCCUUCCAGGUGCCCACUGCCAGCUGCAUCCCCAGCAGUGUUUGCUGCCAGGCUUAACAAAGCCCAGAAAUGCAAGCCCAGCUUAUGAGAGCUUCACACCUACAACACCAAAUGCACAACCUUGAUCCUGCUCACAGAACUCCCUUGUUUAAGACAGUAGUCUUAGACUCUCCAGUCUCUUAGAGCAAAAAAGAAGGGCUGGUUAUUGCUGGAUGCCUGUUCUGACUUUAAAAGCUGCAAGUAAAAACAAUCCAAGAUAUGGGGCAUGCUGAAGUGGCAGCUGAAGGGCUUUUUUUGUUCCUUCUGCAGUUAAUGCCAUCAUGCUAAAAUUGCACACGGGUGGGAGUGGGGGUUAAUUUAAGGUUUAAUGUGACCAAGAAGAAUUAUUUAGAAAAUAGCAAAUGGACAACAUUCUGAAAAAUGAGCUUCAAUUCCCUAACCAGGAGUACUUGACUAAAGAGACUAUGAAGGAAACUUCAGUAUCUAUGGCAGGUAAACAUUUGCCUUUGAUUCUGUUUUUCUCUUCAAGUCCAGAAACCCCAGCAUUUACACUUAAAUGGAUGUGCUGUAAGCUAUGUUUAGGAAGAGAAUUUCAUCCCCUCCUGCACGUACUUUUGCACAUGAUAAUUAUUUGACUGCAGCUUUACAAAGUAUGGCUGGAGGGAUGGUUUGAAAGGGAGGAGUUUCAUGGCAAUGAUGAUAACUGCCUGAUUCAGCCCCACUGGAAGGCACUGGCAGCAGGAUCAGACAAUCCAGAAGAGAUAUUUUAUUUUAAAUAGCCCAAUAGCCAAUAGCCAUUAUGGACCUUCAGUGACUUAUGGAAAAUUCCUGCCUUCUGUAUCCUCAUUUGCAAUCCUUCUGAUUUCAUGCCCUGGAAAACAUGCAUGUAUGCUGGAACCAUGUAUUCAGUGAAGACAUGAAUUUCUGCAUUUUGUCACCACUAAAAAAAAAAAAACAACAAAAAACAACAAAACCNNNNNNNNNNAAAAAAAAAAAAAAAAACCCACAACCAAAAAACAAAACAAAAAAAACCAAACAAACAAACAGAAAAAAAAACCAAAAAAAACCCCACAAAACCAAAAGAACCCAAAAAAACUAACAGAGAGCUAAAGAGCUUAUGAAGAUGACAUUUUGGUGAAUGAUGGUAUUUUUUUAACACCAUCAGUUUUGUCUUCAUCAAAUAAAUCACAGAGUUUGGGCUCUUCCUUUAUUUUU